GUUGCCCACCACCUCGGCUCUCUCGGCUUCCCCACUCCCCCGGCCCUUCAGCUCACUAUAAAAGAACCCUGCUCCUCUGAGCAGCGCGGCCAUUUUCCUGUUCUUCCUGACUAGCCCGCCCGGAGCCUCUUUCCUCUCAAUAAAGCCUGAACUUAAGACUUUCUUCUAACCUGCGGCCCGGUUUUUUCUGAACGAGCUCUGUCUUCCCGCAGAGGCACCACAGGAACUUACCAGAAAAACUGAAAGAAUUCACAGAGCCUUUGAAAGAAGCAGCAGGCUGUAGCCUACUCCAUGAGACAGGUGAAAAAUUGUGAGGAAACUGAGGAGGAGAGGACAAGCCACAUAGCAAGUGGCAGUGCUGGGGAUGAGCUCCAGUUUGAGUUCUGGUGAGGUGGCUGGGAUCAUGCCGGAAUCUGGUGGCGUUAUGAAGGAUGGUGCUGUAGCGGUGUGAGACUCGAGGGGCAGCUCUGGGGAGGACGUUUGGAAAAUAGUCAAGAGGAUGAAACCGCUGGCGUGCUGUCACCAAGAAGAGGUCACCCUCUGGGGAAACCUAACAGGAAACAGGUGGUUGAGCCAGGAAAAGCCACCAGACCAUUCUCUUGGCUUGAGUCUUCUAGCAAAAUUGAUGCUCCAAGAAGAUACACAACGUUGUCCAUGUGGAUUCUGCUGUCUCUGGCUUGGAUCUCAGCCUGGAUCUGGUCGUAUGCAAGUUCGAGAAGCAUAGAUUAGCUACAGAUGGGAACAUUGAAAUGUUGAGAGAUUUCAGAUCUGGAAAGAGAAUCAAGAGUGGCAUGCCUUGAAAACGGUCUUAGUUCAUUUUCUAUUGCUGUUACAGAAUGCCUGAGCCAACCUCAAUGUACAGAUAAGAAGCUCAUCCAGCUACAAGUAGGGGAGCCAGGGUCUGAAACUAUGUGGGUGGACUCUGGAGCCUGUGCUCACACUAGGAGGUAAGCUUGCAGGGGCCCCUGUGGGACUUUGGGAGCAGAUGGUGAUGCUUAAGGAGGGUGGAGUAGGAGGCUGUGGUCCUGGGGUCAGUGCGUGGGUUUUGGGCAUCAGAGGGUGAGGAAGAAGGUGAUAAGAACAGGGUGAGAUAAGGUAACCAUAGAGUGGGGAUUUGGACAUUUGAAACAGCUGUCGCUUGUAGGACGAUGUCUUAGUCCAUUCUUGUACUGCCGUAAAGGCAUACCGGAGACUUGGUUAUUUAUAAAGAAAAGAGGUUUAAUUGGCUCACAGUUCUGCAGGCUGUACAGGAAGCAAAGCAGCUUCUGCUUUCUGAGGAGGCCUCAGGAAGCUUCCAAUCAUGGCAGAGGGCAAAGUGUGGGGCGAGGUGGUUCAUGGGGCAGGAGCAAGAAAGAGUGAGGGGAGCAGGUGCUCACGCACACUUUUAAACAACCAGAUCUUAUGAAAACUCACUCCCAUGAGAACAGCACCAAGGGGAUGGUGCUAAACCACUCAUGAGAAGCUGCUCCCGGGAUCAAUCACCUCCCACCAGCCUCACCUCCAAUACUGGAUUACAAUUCCACAUGGGAUUUGGUGGGGACACAGAUCCAAACCAUAUCAGAUGGUUUCUAGGGAAAGGCAGUUGAAUCUGAACCCCAAAGGUGAAUCACAGACUGUCAGGGCUGGGAGUUCCUUAGACAUGGUCUAGUCUGAUGGUCUUUUAAACUGUACCCCAUGGAAGUUUAGAGUCCUUCAAGGGUAUGAGUGGAUAGAGGUAGUAGGGUGGAGAGGGGUCUUCAAGAUCUUGUGGUAUACAGCAACCAAAGUAAUUCCAUUUCUCUUUUUACCUUUUUGUUGUUGUUGAGGUACAACUUAUAUAUAACAAAGCACAUCAAUCUCAAUUUGUGUGAUGAGGCUGGGCACGCUGGUGCAAGGCUGCAAUCCCAGCACUUUGGGAAGCUGAGGUGGGCGGAUGGCUUGAGCUCAGGAGUUCAAGACCAGUCUGGGCAACAUGGCGAUACCUUGUCUCUACAAAAAAUAGAAAAAUUAUCUGGGAAUGAUGGCUUUUGUCUGUAGUCUCAGCUACUCAGGAGGCUGAGGUGGGUGGAUCACUUGAACCCAUGAGGUUGAGGCUGCAGUGAGCUCUGACUAUGCCACUGCCCUCCAGCCUAGGUGACAGACAGAGACCCUAUCUCAAAAAAUAAAUAAAAUAAAGCCUGAUGAGUUUCUGUAAACUUAUGCACCCAUGUAACCACUACCCAGAUCAAGAUAAAGAAUCUUUCUAAAGUCUCAGCAGUUCUCUCUUGUUCUCUCCCAUCAGUGCUGUAACCAAAGAGAACCACCAUUUUCAUAUUAUCUAUUUUUGAACUCAAAUAAAUGGAAUCGUAGAGAAUGCAUUCAUUGUGUCUAACUUCUUUUGAUCAAAAUUGUGUCUAGGAGAUUCAUCUAUGUUGUUGCAUGUAGAAGGAGUCCACUCUUUUUCACUGCUGUGUAGUAUUCUGUUGUGUGACUAUACCAGAAUUUAUUUAGCUUUUCUGCUUUUAAUUGGCAUCCAGUUUGUUUCCAUCAUUUGGUGUUAUGAACAUCGCUGCUAUGAACACUCUUGCACAGCCUUUCUGGGGACAAAUGGACACAUUUCUGUCAGGUGGAAAAAGUUUCAAUUCCUCUAGAGCAAUCUUCUGCAUUUACAGUUGGUGAAACUGCAACUCAGAGAGGAAAGUGAUUUGUUCAGACUCAAACUGCGGGAAAGUCACAGCCAGCUUGUUCAAGACUCGCCUGGACAUUUUGUAUUGAGUUUCCAAGUACAUGAAAUGGAUCCUAAAUGCCACUCAAACUGGUUGCUUGUCAGAUAUGGACAGGAAACCAUAAUCAGAGUCAGAAGCCUUGGGCUGAAUCCCCAAAACUCACACUAACGAAUGCGUGAGCCAGGGUGAGGUACUGCUGUGGGCCUCAGUCUCCCUAACUGGGAAGUGGAUGUACCUGUUUCACAGCGAUGCUGGAUAAAAGGAGAUUUCUUCAUUAAAACUUUCCCCCAAAGAGGAAAGCAUACGUCUAGCAAAUACCCCAUCAAGUUAAAGCUGAGACGGAGUUUCGCUCUUGUUACCCAGGCUGGAGUGCAAUGGCAUGAUCUUGGCUCAACACAACCUUCGCCUCCUGGGUUCAAGCAAUUCUCCUACCUCAGCCUCCCGAGUAGCUGGGAUUACAGAUGGUGAGACCACCCUCUGUACCUAUGAAGUGGCAUUGAGUGCACAGGUGAGUGAGUAUUCCCUGUGUUGGGGGGGGGCCUGGUGGGAGGUGAUUGAAUCAUGGGCAUGGUCCUUCAUGAAUGGUUCAGUACCAUCUCCCUUGGUACUGUCAUCGCGAUAGUGAGUGAGCUCUCGUGAGAUCUGGUUUGGAAGUGAGUAGCACCUCCUUCCUCUCUCUUGCUCCCACUCCCACCAUUGGAGACACCUCACUCCUCCUUUGCCUUCCACCAUGAUUGGAAGCUUCCUGAGACCUCCUCAGAAGUAGAAGUGACUAUGCUUCCUGUACAGCCUGCAGAACCAUGAGCCAAUUAAACCUCUUUUCUUUAUAAAUUACCCAGUCUUAGGUAUUUCUUUACAGGAUUGAGAGAAUGGACUAAUACAAUGGGCAACCCAGACUGAGCAAACCAAAUGGAAAAAAGCAUAAAGAUAUAAACCCAUGGUUUACAUUUGGGACAGUGAGUAGUCCAGAGUGGCAGUGGUGCGUGUGUUUGGGGUGAGCAGACAGAGGGAACAUCUCAUGAAGAGAAAGCAUCAGGGAAGGGAGCUGGAGGCAGACUGUAUGAAAAUCUGAAGGCCAGGUGAGGGGCUUGGACUCUCUCUGGGGUUUAUGAGGAGCAGGAAUAUGAUGGGCAGUGCUGAAUGCUGCCAAGUCUGUUUUGGCUGUUUAGUGGAGAACCUACUGGAGGCAAGAGGCCAGAUGCUGUUUGAAGUCAGUUCAUUUUGCAUGGUUAUGGUCAGUGAGCCUUAAGAGUAAAUGGCACAGAACCUGUGUCCAUCUGCACGUCUUCCCUUACAGCUCUGUGAAAUCACUUGCUCCAUGUAGGUCCCAGCAGGCUCAUUUUCAGGAGUUAGUUCACUAACAGGUGCAGAGCUUUCUGGGAAUCGAGCAAAAUUACAAUGAGCCUUCAUAUUAUGAAGUGUGUAGUGGAGUUAUCUUCUACCUGAUCUCAGGACUUCCUUUCCACCCACGCUCUUUGUAACAGCAAGUCACUUGUGGGCUCUAGGAAGCAGGGAGAAAUAAAAGCAAGUGGACACUUUCUAAGUGUCAGCCACUGUUCAAGGAUCUUGACAUGUGUUAACACCUUUAGUGCCCAAAAUGUAUCAUGGAGAGAGGAGCAAUUACUAUCCCCAUUUUACAGAUUAGACAAUCAGAUAGAUCAAGUAACUCAUCGAAGCUUGCACAGCCAGUGAGUGGAAGAGCUGGAUUCAAACUCCGGAGCCCGUAGUCUUAACUGCUAUCUUUUAUUGCCUCUCCCUUUUUAGAUUUGAUGCUUUUUAUUUCUACAGUGAUCACAGCUCCUUAUGAAAUAGGUAAUACCAUUACUUUUCAGUUUAUAGGUGAAUAAGCCAAUGUUCAAAGAGGGCUCAUAGUUGUCCCAGGUCACACAGCCAGUAAGUGGCUGAGCUAGAACUUGAACCCAUCUCUGUCCGACUUUGCAGCCUCACCCCACUUUACCAGGAAGGGGUGAGGGAAGGAGAGAAGGCAAUGCAGGGACCAGUCUUGUGAUUCCUCACCAGAGGGCAAGCACUCUCCAGCCUAUGAUGUUUCGGUCUCCUGUCUCCAUAAAAUGAGAUUUUUUUGUUUUCAUAAUUUGGGAAUUCCACAGUAGGGCACAGACAUCAUGAUUCUAUCCUUGGCCACAUCCACCUCUUCUCUUGGCCAAACCUUUGGCUCUUCCAAGUUGUGACAGCAAAACCCUAUCUCAGAGCUGGAGCUUCUGAAUGUCAGGGCUUCCAUCUAGGUCUGGAGGAUAGUGGUUUCAGGGAGUGGUUUCUUUUUGAGCAAAGAAAACUGCUAUUCAAAUCCAAUCUUGCUUCACAUUUCAAAAUUCUGCUCGUAGGCCAGUGUGUGUGUACAUCUGUGACUGUCAACAGGCAUCCAGAGAUGGGGUGGGAAGUGAUGCUCCAUGGCCACCAUAGGCCAGACAGGAAUCAGGAAGCUGACAUACAAUGGAUUAGGCAUUGCUUCAUUCUUUGACCAGCAUCACCUUCAACUGAUGUUCAUGGAGCAAGGCUUCCUGUGAGGAAAUCUGAGCAGCAUGUAGCAAUAACACAUUUGAGCACUCACUACAAGCCAGGAACUACAUUAAGUAUGACAUACACACCAUCUCACUUAGUGCUCACAAAAUACUGUCAUAGAUUUCAUUACCCCUGGUUGAGGGAUGGGGAAACCAAGCAGCUAAGAGGCUUGCCCCAUGACUGAGGCAAGAUUCGGACCCAGGUCAUACUCUUAAGCGUACAAAUUGAACACCUGAAUCUCUGACUACUAUCUGAAAAACAGAAUGUAGGAGGGCAAAGGAGGAUGCAGAGAGACCAGUUAGGAGGCAACUGCAAUAGUCCAGGAUGAGACGAAAUGGCUGCUUGGACUAAGGUGGUAUUAUGGAAGUAGUAAGAAGUGGUUGAAUUCAGAAUAGAGUUUGAGGGAAAGGCAAAACAACAGGGCUUGUCAGUGGAGUGAAGCUGAGCCAUAUGGGAAAAAGGUGAGUCAAGGAUAAGACCUAGACUUUUGGCCUCAGCCACAACGUACAAGGAGGUGCCAUUUAAUGAGAGGGAGUUGUUAAGGGGAGGAAAGAGUUUGGUGGUGGGUAUCCAGAGUUAACUUGGUGGGUCAGUUAGACAACUGUGUGGAGACAUGAUCAGGGGAGAGGUAGGGGAAGGAGGUGUGGAUUUGUGACCAGUUUAUGGACCCAGUUUAAAGUCCUAGGGUAGAUGAGAUGAUCAAAUAGAGGAUUGUAAAUAGAAAAAUAGCCAAGGGCAGAGCUUUGUAGAGCUUAACAAUUAAAGGUCAAGUUGAAAAGGGAUAGCGGGCAGAGGAGACUGAGAAGGAAUAGCAGUGGGUAGGAGGACAACCAGGCACUGAUCAACAAGGAAUGUGUUUUAAGAAGGUCAAGUAAGACAAGGAAAGAGCUGGCCAGUGGCUUUGGCAAAGUGGAGCCCAUUGGCGACUUUGACAUUCCAGGAGGAACACAUUCUCUAUACCUGUCGCAUUGGCUGUCCUUGAAUUUCGGGGCAAAAAUUCCCAAGAUUAUGGAGCCUAGAGAUGGCAGAGCCAACAUUCAGACGGUCCUUGGUUUGAACCUUGGAUCUCCCCAUAGCUGUGUGACCUUGGGCAGUUACUAUCCCUCCUUGAACCUCAUUUUCCUCAUCUAUGAAAUGGGAGUGACAGUGCUCACAACUUGAGGCAAGGAUUGAAGGAAAUAAUAAAUAAAAACGUAAAGCAGCAAAUGCUUAGGAGGUAGUAAAUAUUUUUAUUAUUAUUAUUAUUUUAAAUAAAGACUGGAUCUCACUCUGUCAUUCAGGUUGGAGUGCAGUGAUAUGAUCACAGUUCGCUGUAGCUUUGACCUCCUGGGCUCAAGAAUCCUCCUGCCUCAGCCACUGGAGUAGCUAGAAUUACAGGCAUGCACCACUAUGCCUGGUGGAUUUUUUUGUUUUUAGUAGAGAUGGGGGUCUCACUAUGUUGCCCACGCUGGUCUUGAACUCCUGGCCUCAAGUGAUCUUCCUACCUUGGCCUACCAAAGUGCUGAGAUUAGAGGCGUGAGCCAUGGUGCCUGGCCUAUUAUUUUAGCUUUUAUGUAUUUUAAAAAACAUUGUUAGCUCAAGAGUGAUAUCUAUAUUUCUGAGAAAAAUCCGACCUAAUUUUGAGCAGAGCUUUAUUAAUGCCAGGGAAUCUGACAGGAAAUUCUUUGAGGGUUGAAACAUUUUUUUUCCCUGUGGCACCCCAAAUGCCCAGCAUGUAAGUGGAUUUAAUCCGAUCAGGUCAAUCCCUGUUCUGAGCAGUUUUAUACUGCUCCCUGGGAAGAGACCUAGAUCCCUACCUGGGCUCACAAGACUGGGUAGUCUGACCCCUCCCACCUGUGCUGCCUGGUCACACACCAUACUCCCCAAAACCACCACGACUCUCGGUUCCUGACAGCACUCUACUUGGCCCAUGCACUAGGGGGCGCUGCACAUUCUACCUCCCCUGUAUUCUCCCUUCCCUGUCCUUUUCCCUGUGUUAAUUUCUUCUUGUCUCCUGGGGCAAUGGCUACUUCCCCAGGAAGCCCUUCCUGAAUUUCUGGACCAGAACGAUUCCUUUCUUAGAGGCUACCAGGGCCUCUGUGCCUUUCCUUCCUGGCACUUAGCUUGUUUGUGGUCAUACAUUUUUGGUGCACAUGUUAGUUUAACACCUGAUUUCAUCACUAGAUUCUAAGCACAUGGGGCCGGAAUUGAUCUGUUUUGCUCACCAAUGUGUGCCCUGUGUUGAUCCCAGGGCCUGGCACACAGUAGGCAGGCAACACAUCAUUGUAGACUGAGUGAGUGAGUGGGUAUUUAAUGCAAUGAAUGCAUGAACAGAUGGCUUUCCUUUUGUAGAGCAAUGCAGGUGUCUCUGAAAGGUUGUUGGAAAGGCAAAUAUGAUACCAAAUUGUAUUCCAUUUACUUUAAUUACAGUACGAAGGAGAAUAAAUCUUGCCCUUGAAAUGUAAUAAAGGCCUACUUUAAAAUCUCAACUGUCUUUUUCACUGGCUUAGUUUUUAAAAUGAUAAUUUCCUGAUAAGCCAUAAAUAAUACCACUUAAAAUAGAUUCCUGACUUGGCUCGGCUACUAACUAGCUGCUGAUCGUAGACAGGUCACUUACACUCUGCAUGUCACCAUUUACGGUGUAUGGUUCUUGUGAGGCUCUAGGUCGAUGGCACGAGAGCCCUUUGAAAGCAGGGUCUUAUUUGUUAUCCAUUAUUCUCAGUCUUAUUAAUAAUAAGAAGGAAUAGGCUGCGUGCCAGAGAUAGUUGAGUAGAUUUGCAGGGCUGCAGGAUUGGGGCUGCAGAGAAAAAUGAAAAGAAAUGAAAUUUUCUUUUCAUUUUUAAUGAAAUAUUUAGAGGGGUGUUGGGAAAUGAAGGGUGGAGGGGACCAGAGACAAUAACGGCUGAGUGUUUAUGUCUAUUGGGCUGUUGGUGACCCGAAUAAAUCACUCUCAUGGCCAAAUUCUUAGAAGCUGCAUAGGGAAGGAGAGAAAGUAAUAAACUCCUUGGCUCACCGUGUGGUGGCAGAGGAGAGAUGUCUGGCGACUCCCAGGUGACCUUGGCUGAUCAGGGCUGUGGCUCUGAGGUCAGGGAGGCUGGCAGCUGUUGGUGGGGAGGGUGAAGCUGUCGCCCACCAGGCAAAUUAUCCUGCCCAGCACAACCUGAGCUCCACGACUAGGAGGGGACACAGAUGCCCGCAGACAUGGGAGGAGGAGCAAAGCCAGCAGGACAGGGAGGGGAGGGGUGUGCAAUCCAAGCCUUCAGGGCUGGGCAGGAAAUGGGAAGAAUUGGGCAGCCCAGAGGGGAUGGGGUCCUGAAGAGCCCAGCCCAGUUAAAGGGCAGCAGCACCUCAGCAACAAGUAGCUGGUGUUGUGUGAGGAUGCGUCACCCACCGUCACUAUCCCCCUUUUCCAGAGAGAUCUCCAGUCCUGGGUUUUAAAUGUGGAAUCACGCCAUUUGCAGAAAAACAGAAACCAAGCAAACGAACAGCAGCAACAAAAUCUCUGUAGGCCAACAGGACAGUCUGACGGCUGUGCGAGGGCUGCUCUUUUGUGAUCUCAUUUGAUGCCCCAUUUGGGGGCUCCAUCCCUGCCCUCCCCCUUCCGGGGUGGGGAUGGAGGAGACCACUUGACUCUGUGGGAAAGGGUCCUGUAAGCUCACCUAACCGAUCUUCCAUCUUUAAGAAGACCACUAGAAGUGAACACAUACAGAGUAAAAUGUCAGCUCACCAUAGGUGCCAUGAAUAAAGACAAUGCAGGAUAAUGGGGAGAGAGAGUGAUGGAGGCAUUUAUUUUUGGUUGGAUGACCAGGAGAGGUCUCUGUGUCCGCCCUUCUCCCAGGCCCUCAGAGGUUUAACAAGAUUUCACCAGGUUUCCCUGGCCUCAUUCAUAGGUGCUAAUGAGCAGCUGGGGGUUGGCUGAAUAGCUGCAGUAAUCCAAAAGGGUUUCCCUUCUACCCUCUGUAUCCCUGGCCUUGGAAUUAGCCUCAGUUCCAGCUAAGGAAGCAGGUGCAAAGCCGAAAUCCUGAUUAAGAGUAAGUAUUUUCACCUCUACAGCUGGCCACUGAGUCUGGGAUGAGAGGAGCCUGCACGCUGCAGGACAGCAGGUGGGGGAGGGGAGGAAACAGGAGCCACCAGCUCCUGGCCAUGGUUGUGCAUCCCCUGCUCAGCUUUACUUGGAGGGGAAUAGACAGACAUAAGGGACGCAGUAAGUCAGGGCAGGUCCUGCGGCUUCACAUAUGUCUCCUCUCCCCCAGGUCUCCCUGCCUGAAAUCUUAUCAUCAGACAGUAACUUUUCUCAAAGCUACAGUGGCAUCUCUAAAUCCCCUUUUGUUCCAAGACAGAAAACUGUGGGAGUUGUUAUGCUUCCCAUCUCAAAGAGAAAGAGAGUUCUUACUGUGAGCUGCAAGGCCAUCUGUGAUGUGCAGCCCCAGCUCAUGGGAUGGCUACAUAAUUUUGGGGGCCCAGAACAAAAUGACAAAUUGGCCCGCCGCAUUAUUGCCAUCUCCCUGAGCACAGGGAUUUCUUUUUGUUUUGGCUUAAUGAUGGCUCUAUCUCCAGUGCCUGGCACCUGAUAGAGGCUUCCUAUUUUGUUGUUGAUGUUGAAUCAAAGCACAGCGUUUGAGUCAUGAUGUGGAUCUGUGGUAGGACUUCUUUUAACAUUUAUUAAGCUUUUAUGGCAUUGGGCUAAGGAAGUGGGGUUUCAGCCCUGGCUGCACAGGGGAAUUGCCCCAGCAAUUCUUACAAAUCCCGAUGCCAGACUUUACCUUGGACUAGUUAUAUUGGAAUCUAGAGGGGGCGGGUGAGGGGACAUCAGCAUGUUCAAGCUUCCCAGCUGAUUUCAAUGUGCAGCCAAGUUUGAGGACCAGUGCACUGGCUCAGUCGCACUUGUGCUCAGUGGCUGUGGUGCAGUGUUAGGCAGCUUGUUAACUGCUCAGAGGUCCAGGGCCAUUUUCAGAUUUUCCAGAUUGUUAAAUUUGGGAAGGAGGGUCUGUCCUGUUAAUAAGCUCCCCAGGGAAUUUUUGCUUACUCCAAAGUUUGCAAACCUAAAUCAUGCUCAAUCCUAUGAUUGUAUUCAUUUUACAGACAGGAUAAAAGAGGCAGAGAGGGGUUAAGUAGUCUUUCCAAGGUAACAAGGUAGGUAAGUGGCAGAACCAGGAUUUGAACCUGAGGCUACUGAGCUUACCUAUUCGCUUCUCUCCUUUUUCUUUGUGACAAAAACCUAAGUGUGCUCCAGGAGCUGGUUGUGAAAAUAAAGACAAGGUUAGGUACAGUGGUUCAUGCCUGUACUUCCAGCACUUUGGGAGGCCAGCGUGGGAGGAUCACUUGAGCUGAGGAGUUCGAGACCAGCCUGGGCAUCAUAACCUAGUAAGACCCCCGCCCCAUCUGUACAAAUAACAAAAAAGAUCAGGAGGAUACGCAUGUAAUAGUAUAUUUUAAAGAUGGAGAAGUCGGUAUUACCACUCCAUGGUGAGGAAACAGGCCCAGCUUGGUGAACUAACUCCCACUUCCAGGGUCUUUGGGCCUUUAAGAGGCAGAGCUGGGAUUCAGAUGUGGGCCAUUUUCUCCAGACUCUCAGGUUCUGCAAGUGAACAUUCAACACGUGGGUCAUCCCGGCAUCCACGUUGAUUGGUGCCUGAUAGGCCCGUAACCAAUAAUGAGAAAGUGAGUGGCGGGGCGGGAAGGCUGGUCAGCUGAAUGGGUGAACCAGUGAGGGAGUGAGGGGGUCCAGGUAACUCACUUGCCUAUUUCCUGGAUUCAUUCUAUUUUUCAAGUAGAGUUGGAUCACUAGAGGGCGAUAUCGGACAAGAGAAAGAAGAAUUCUUUACUGUCGUUUCUAGGACUGGUGAAGAUAAUACAUCUAUGGCCGUGGAUUUAAACCAAAAAGGGAGACUCUAAUUUACGAGCAGUUAGUGAGCAUUGCUUUCCCCUGGGCUUGCAGGCCAAUGAGAACCUUUUCAAGCCCCAUUAACACAUUGGGCCACUCCAGACCUUUCUAGGCUUAAAACCAACAGGGCAAAGGGGAGAGAAGGGAAAUCUUGGUUGGCCUGAAAAGUGGAUGUUUGUAGAUAAUAGGAGGUUUUAGAAAAAGACAUUUUGUAGCUUCCCAGACUUUUACGACAUUGAUGGGAGUUAAUGUUUCGAGAAAUGGUAUUAUAAUGAAGUUGUAUGCUGAAUUAAUUUCCCAUAAAUAAGACCAUACACUUCCACGGAUUGCUUUUCUGCCAUAUCAUGGGAGUGCGUGCUCUUGGUGGAUGCGUGUUCUCCCUCCUUCCUCCACCUGCCCCCUCUUCUUUCCUUAGAGCCUUAGAGUAGAUGCCAUCUGGGUAUGUCUCCACUGGUUGUGUGGCCUUGAGUAAGUCACUUAAAUCUUCUGAAUCUCAAAGUCCUCAGUGAUGACAUUGCAGGCUUGUCCUGGGGUUUAAACAGAGAACAUGUGGGCCUCCUCGGAAUUUCCUUCAGGUUUCUGUUUCUUUGUCUUCUCUUCUCUGCUUUUCCAGUAAGAACCAAAAGUUCUGAUGCCAAAAGAGCGGCGAAGUCUUUACUGAGAAUUCACCAGUUGCCCCUCCCUGGGGCCAUCGCUAACCCCAAGAGGUGCAUUUUAGAAGCUAUGAGCAUUGGAGGGGGCCCCUAAGAAAUGAAUUUCAAGUGAAAGCCUUUUAGACUCAACUCCUACUUAGUGCUAAUAAUCAUUGCAAUGAAAGUAACUCCUAUUGAGCGCAUAUAAUGUACUAAAAGCAUUGUGCCUAAGGUUUUAUAGGUGUUACCUCCCUUAAUCCUUGCCACAAACCUUAUGAGGUAGGUGUUUCAUUAUGUCCUUUUUACAGAUGAGGAAACUGAGGAUCAGAGAACUUAAGUAAUCUAGCUGAGGUCACACCGCUAUUAAGUAGCAAAGCUGGAGUCAAAGCCAGGUCUGAUUCCAAUGCUUAUGGUCAGGAAGAGGGCUAAGAAUAACGUAUGUGUAUCAUUCACCCUGUGCCUGGGUGACUUCUGUAGAAAGGUUGUAUGUCCAGGAUACAGGAAGGAAGAGGAGGCCACACGGGAUAGAAACACCUGGAAACACUUCCCAGAAGUGGUGUUAUUUGAGCAGGCCCCUGAGGAUUAGUCUGGGUUCUGGCGGCAGAGAUGAGGAGGGAAGAGAGUGUUAGAGGAACCACCAAAUUCAAAGACAGGGAGACUGGAGAGCAUGGGGUUUGUUUUGGGGAUGUGGAUGUAUCCAGUACUGUGCCACCGUAUGAGUAUAAGGGGUGCUAGCUAUCAUUAUUUGCAUUUUACACAUUAGGAAAAUGAGGCACAGAGAGGGUAACUGAUUUGGCCAAGGUCACACAGCUAAGUGGCAGAGCUGGGAUUUAAACUGCCAUCUCUCUGACUCCACUUCUGUACAGUGGAGAGCACAUAUGGAUCUCAACUCAGUCACAACUAAGAGAAAGGCUCUAGUAUCUGCGGCUUCUGGGGGCAAUCCCAAGGCCAGCAGCCCAGCCAUACCAGAGAUCACACACCAAUAUGUGCCCCCCGCACCUUGAAAUGUAGUGGGGAGAAUAGUGGGGACAGGACGAUCUUCAAGUUCUGAGAUACCAACAGUAAGAAUCGACCUUUGCACCACACCCAGCUUUCUUCUCAGUUUCACCUUGGGAUCAGGCUACUCUCUUGCAUCCUUUUACAUUUCAUAAUUGCUGCUCAUCAACCGUGUGCCAGACCCUUAAACAAUAUUGAGGCAUGAGGUUGGCUUAGAAACCUGUGGGAGGUCACGUAGUGAGCAAGUGGCAGAUGGAGGAUUCAGGCCUGGCCUGUGCUGCUCACCACAGUGCUGUUCCCCUCUCUUGGGGUAAAGAGCAGGGAACAGAUGAGGAGAGGGGCUCUUGUGAAGCCCACCCAGCUUCUCCUAAUGGCCCCACAAGGCAGCUAGUCAUAGGUGAGUCUCAGGAGGUCUGAACGGCUUACUAGGGCUGGUGGAGCCAACACAGGAGACCAGAUCCUGACCCUCCCUGCUGCCCCACAUCCACCUGCCCUCAGAGUCUCCAGGCCACCACUUCUCCUCCAGCCCAACCUGAGGCAGCAGUUGCUGAUGGACCCUGAGCAUCCCUAACACCACCACUGCGAAGGUCCUGGCCUCAGGUUCUUGUUACCUGAGAACAUCUGCCUGCAGGGGACAGGGACCCCAGGCCACUGGUAGUUUGUUUAUGUGGGUUUUAGACUCAAUGAAGUCAUGGCUGCUUUCAUUCUACGGACAGAAACUGCCUUGACCCUAGAGGGAGAUUUAUAGGGCCCCAGGCAAUAUCCACAGAUGGACCAGAUGCUGAUGUUGGCAUACACACAGAAAUCCUAUUUGGAGAAAGGUAAGGUAUAAAGGGCACCAGAUGGGAUUCCCUGCUGUGGAAUUAAGAGGAGUCACCAAGGUAGUGAUGAGAGUGGAGACUCAUCUCCAUGUGUUUGUGGAGGAAAGAAGGAAGUAUGUGCAUUUAUUCAUGAAUUUAUUCAUAUCUAUUCACUCAGCAGACACACGUGGGGAACCUAUUAUGUACCAAAGAAUGUGCCAGGCAUCAAGGAAAUAGCAGGGUACAGAACAGAGCGAGUUUUUUCCCUCAGAGAGCCUCUCGCUCUGCUGGUGAUGAUGGGCAUUAGGGAAGGGCAACAGCCGAUGAGCACAUAAAUCAAACACCUAAGUUAGGUGAUGGGGCAAGUGACACAGAUGGAAACGAAUCAGGGGAGGAGCUGGGAGUCUGGUGGGUGGGAUUUGUUUGGAAUGGGCCAUCAUUCUCACUCCAAAAGGAGCUAGAAUUUGGUUCUUUUUCUCUUAAAGAAAUGGGUCUUGAUUUAGACAACCAUGAUUCACUCCCUAGAGGUACAGUGCAGGCUAAGCUCCAGUAUCUCCGCGGAGAAUGCUUGGAGCCAAAAUGGCCUGAGAGUGGUUUACCUUGGUUCCUCAUAGAGUCAGUGCACUCUCAGCUGAUGGGGUAAGGGAGGUGGUUUGUCCCCAGAAACUUGGGCCCAUUGUCCUAAGGUGGGGAUGGGAGCAGCACUUCCAGGAGCAAGUGUGGGUGAAGACCAGAAUGUUCUACGUCAACAAUAAGGUAUUUUGUAUGUCAAAAUAGCCAGAAGAGAGGAUUUUGAAUGUUCCCCACUAAAAAGAAACAAGAGAUGCUGUCAGGGACGGGUACACUAGUUACCCCGAGCUGAUGAUUACACAAUGCGUACAUGUAUCAAAACAUCACAUUGUACCCCAUAAAUAUGUGCAAUCAUUAUGUAUCAAUUUUUUGAAAGACCAAAAUGAAUAUGUGCCCCUGUGCCACAGGUUACCUGUAAGGUGCAGGGCUUCUUGCUGUCUGUUGAAGCAAUUGGGCCUUUUCCCAACUCCCAGUGAAAUGGCCAGGAGUUUUGGGGCUCAGUUUUCCUGAAACAAAGAUAUGGGCCCAGACUGUGACUUCAGCCCCGAAUGUUGUACAUGUUAAAGCGUGGCCUUGGUGCCUGAAUUAAAUCUGAAUCAGCUGCCUUCUGUUUAGGGCCUAUAAACCUCCCUUUCUUUCAAAGUCUCUGGUGGCCAAAGAAACACAGAUUUAUGAGAGAGUGGCUUUGCUUUGUAAACUUAAGCCCUCAAAAGGGGACUUCCCUGGGAAUCUCUAUUAAGACAUUUCUGAACUUAGUUUUUUUUUUUUUUAAAAAAUACUAAAUAUGAUCAAUUUUGAAUUAUUUGAAUUAUUUUCAUUAAUUGCCAGUCAUCCUAAAGAACUGAUUGAGCACCUUUUAGGUACCAGACACUGUUCUAGGCACAGGUGUGAGCAAGAUACAUGGUCCCUGUCCUCAUGUAGUGCACAGAUGGACCAGAUGCUGAUGUUGGCACACACACAGAAAUCCUGUUUGGAGAAAGGUAAGGUAUAAAGGGCACCAGAGGGGAUCCCACAGCAGGAGUCCCCCCUGGACACAGAGUAAAUGGGUAGUCAUAACACAGGGCUCUGAGAGGGGAAGGAGGGGGUGUUUUAGGAGAUACUUAAAGAUAAAGGUCAGGGAUGGCUUCCUGGAGGAAGGAGUUAGCUGGAUGAAGAGUUGCGGGAACAGCGUAGAUGUCCAGAUGAGAGUGGGGGCGGCCUGGAGUGGAGAGGGCAUGUAGCGCACAGCUAGCGCUUCAUAACUUGGGGAGAGCAAUGUAGGGAGGUGAUGGAGAAUGAUGCUAGGGCUGCCAGAGCAAAGUACCACUGACUGGGUAGUGAAAACAACAGAAAUUUAUGUUCUCAUCAUUCUGGAGGCAGGAAGUUCGAGACCGAGGCGUUGGCUAGGUUGGUUCCUCCUGAGACCUCUCUCCUGGGGCAGUCAUUGCCAUUUUGCUCUUUGUCUUCACAUGGGCUUCCCUCUGUGCAUGUCUGUAUCCUCAUUUUCUUUUUGUAUGAAGGCAUCAGGCAUAUUGAAUUAGGGGCCUCCACUUACAACCUUGUUUGAAUUUAAUUACCCUGUUAAAGACUCUAUCUCCAAAUAAGUCAUGUUCUGCCGUACGGGAGGCUGGGGCUUUCAAUGUAUGAAUUUUGUAGAACACAAUUCAGCCUGUAACAGAUGUAUAGUCACUGGAUCAAGCAAGGCGUUGGAACCAUGUUAAAAAGCGUGGACUUGGUCUGAAAGGCAAGGGGGAGUCACUGAAGAGUCCUACACAGGGUGGCAAUGCUCAUGUUUGCAUUUGAUCUUUGCAGAGAUCUUACAGCAGGGAGGGGAAAAUUGUAGAAGGACAGAGUUGGGUUCAGAAGCUAUGAGGAUGUUGUCUAAGAGAACUCUUGGCAGAGGGAGAUUAGGGGGUAGAAACUACAGGAACUGUGGUGGGUCACUCCUCAGGGGCAGGGCAGGGGAAUGUCAAGGUGAGCUGGAGUUCUGGUUUGGGCCACUGGGUGCACCAUGGAAAUCUUCCCUGAGAAUCGUGGUCUGGGUGAGGGGAAGGAGAUGAGUCCAGCAUUAGGGGUCAUGCUGACUUUUGGGGCCCUGUGGGAAAUCUGAGUGGGGCAGGUCUCAAGCUCCGGAAAUAAUUCUGAGUUGGAGAUAUGGAUUUAGGACUCAUUAGCUUGGAUGGUAAUUGAGGCCAUGGAAAUGGGUGCGGGAGGGGGGAUAGCCAUGAGUUUGAAUAUUCAGAAAGGAGCUGGCAACUCUUCUUACUGAUGCUAGAGAUGUAUGUGUGCCCAGAAUGACUAACACCUCCGCUCAUAUGAAGGCCCAGCUAAUCUUCAAGUCCAUGUUUUCCUCUCUGAGGAACCAUUGGGAUCCUGGGAUAAGAGAGGGUCUUGGGUCUCCUGGGCAUUUGCUCCCUUCCCAAGAUCUGAGGACAUUUAAUUAAUUUUGAUACUUAAUGAAUCACUGGAUGCCUUCCCAGCUGAGUCAGCCAAGGUAUCCUUCCUGGGAAGCACAAGCCAGGCAGCUCCAACCACUGGCCUUGUUUAUCAGAGGGAUGGGGCAAGAGAGUGGGGCGUGACUUCCCAGACUAGCAAGCAUCUGGCUACAUGGAGGCAAGGAAAGAUACCAGUGUACAAAAGGUAUUUGCUGGGCUUAAGGGUACGUGAUGCAUAUUUUCGGUAGUAGUAGCAGAUUUGUCUUUUUAAGAUGUCUUUUUUGAGCCACUUUUAAAAUAACAACAGCUGAAUUUAUAGAAUCCUCACCAGCUUCCAGACAAUGUGCUAGGCAUUUUACCUGCAUUGUCUCAAUUCAUCCUCGCAAGCAAGCACUGUAGUUAUUCCCAUGGUGCUGAGGAUAUGGGAGAAGUCAUACGAUGUGACUUCUGAGGCUAGGACAUGAAAGCAUCUACCUGGCUCUGUCAUUUGUCUCAGGAUGUAUGCCCAGGGAGCCACAAGCCAACAUGUGAAAUGUCUGGUUGCCCUGCAGGUGCUAUGCUGGAGAGAGCAUGUAGGGAGACUCUGCAGAGACUGAUGUCCAAGGAUCCUCUGCUGUUCCAGCCUCCAGAUGUUUGGUACCAAAUGAAAGAAACAGCCAGUAGAAGUCGAAGGGGGCUUUCAAGAAGGAUGUAAUGAAGGCUUGUAAGAAUAACCUCCCUACCAAUGAAGUCAACAAGCCUAUCUUCACGGGAAGCCACCUUUCCUGGAGAAGAAAUCUUGCUUCUUGGAGACAACUGCCUUUAAGCUCAUGGAUUAAUGUACCAGGAUGUUAAAUUGACUUUCAUUGUAUUCUUGGAGCUUUAACUGAGACCCCAGAACAGAGGUACUUGGAACAGAACCUGGCACAUAGUAGCUACUCAACAAAAGUGUAUAGACUAAGAAAAUCUCUGCCAAGCACAAGCCGUAGGAGAUAAAUAGACAUCAGUUGGUUCUGAGAAUGGCAAUUUUCCAGUCCAUGGCCUGCUUGUAAAUGCCUGUGUUAAAAGGAUGUAGAGGUAGAAACAGAGUAGUCGGCCAGGCACUUGAAGACUCUUAUGUCACAGAUUAAAAAAAGAAAGAGAGCAAAAAAGAGCAGAAAAUGGAACUGGAAAUAACACAGCCUAGUGAAUUCUUCCUUAAAGCAUCACCUUGAGGAAAGAUACCUAUGCAUAUCCCUUAAUUGACGUGAAGAAGGCCCAGAGAGGUAUUUCUAGGUAACGGAAGUAAUGCUUGAAUGCUGGCGGAAGAGCAGUGCAGUGCGCGUAAGCUCUGGUGAACCCCAUCUAAUCAGUUGAAAGCUUAGAGCAAAAACUGAAGUUUUCUAGAGAAGAAAUUCAGCGUCAAGACUGUAGCCUAGAAGUCCUGCCCAAGUUUCCAACCUGCUGGCCUGCCCUGUGGAUUUCAGCAAGACUGCAACAUCAACUCUUACUUGAAAUUCCAGCCUACAGUGUUCCACAGUGAAGCUGAAGAGGGGCGAGUGGGAAAUUGAGCAUCAUUGAAUGAGGACUCAAAGAAUUAGAAUGUUAAUACAGGCCAGAGCCCUUGGAGACCAGAGCAACUGUCUUGGUCAUUCUACAGGAAGAGAAAUACACACCCAGAGGAACAAAGCAAUUUGCCUGAGGUCACAAACCAGGGUGAGGGAAGUCUGCUAUUGAUGCCUUGUUCAAUUAUUUUUCAAGGUAACUUUUCUCUAAAACAAAGUUCUUCUUCUGCUAUUCAUAGAAGUUUCUCUGUUCAUUCCUGCAUUCUCUCUGUAAAAGGAGAAACUGGGUUAGAGACGGGUCAAAGAAACUAUGCCUUGAAGAAGUGUUUAUUCCAUCUCUUGGUAUGUAAACACAGCACCAGUGACAGAGGCUGAUCCCUAUCAGUGAGUAAGGGCUCAUUAACACAGUCAGUGGGGGAUCCUGGAACAGUGCCUUGCCCUCAGGAGGCUUUACAACUAUUAAGACAACAUCAAGCUUAUUUGAAAACCAAACAUGGCCCCAAAAAUAUGUGGCAGUUUUAAAAAUAAUCAUGCGUUUUAAUGACAUUGGCUUAUUUUCAUUACAACACUCCUAAGAGAUGGCCACUAUCCUUGCAUCUGUUUUACAUAUUAGAAAACUAAGGUUUAUGUAGAUUUUUUGGUGACUCUUCCAAAGUUAUACAGCUGAUGAGCAGAAAAGCUGGGUUUGAAUUCAGGUAUGUCUGCCUCCAGCUCCUAUGCCCUUUGAACAGAUGCUAACAGAGGUGUGAUGCAUUUCCACUUCAACCCAUUUGUUUUGAGACAAAGAGAAGGAUAAAACCUGAUAGGUGAUCUGGAGACAACAGAUGCUGGAGAGGAUGUGGAGAAAUAGGAACACUUUUACACUGUUGGUGGGAGUGUAAAUUAGUUCAACCAUUGUGAAAGACAGUGUGGCGAUUCCUCAAGGACCUAGAAAUAGAAAUUCCAUUUGACCCAGCAAUCCCAUUACUGGGUAUAUAUCCAAAGGACUAUAAAUCGUUCUACUAUAAGGACAUAAGCCCACGAAUGUUCAUUGCAGCACAGUUUACAAUAGCAAAGACCUGGAAUCAACCAAAAUGCCCAUUGAUGAUAGACUGGGCAGGGAAAAUGUGGCACAUAUACACCAUGGAAUAUUAUGCAGCCAUCAAAAACGAUGAGUUCGUGUCCUUCGUAGGGACAUGGAUGAACCUGGAAACCAUCCUUCUCAGCAAACUGACACAAGAGCAGAAAAUCAAACACCUCAUGUUCUCACUCAUAGGUGGGCAUUGAACAAUGGGAACACAGGGACACAGGGAGGGGAGUACAACACACUGGGAUCUGUUGGGGGGAAAUAGGGAAGGGACAGUGGGGAGUUGGGGAGAGAAAGCAUGGAGAGAAAUGUGUGUACCUAUGCAACAAUCUUGCAUGUUCUUCACAUGUACCCCAAAACCUAAAAUGGAUUUUAAAAAAAUAAUUAAUUAAUUUAAAAAACCUGAUAGGGUGUUCCAGAACAGUUUGCAUUUGAUAUUUUAUUCAUCCACUCAUUCAUUCAUCCAUUCAUUUAUUCCUUGCUUACUAAGUACCUUAAGAAUCUGAACACCAAAGCUAGGCAGCCCGGGUUUGAAUCCUGAGUCUAACACUCACUUGCUAAGAAGUUGACUUACCCGCUCUGUGCCUCAGUUUCCUCAUUAGCGUAAAAAGAAUAAUAGUAUCUACCUUGUGGGCUGUUGUGAGAUUUAAAUUAAUAUGUAAAAGCACUUACAUGUAGAGCUAUAUAAUUGCUACUUGUGCUUCUGCUGCUGCUACUGAGCUGUAUUUUGGUGAUUGGUGUUUAAUGGAAAGAAUCAGCAGUCUUGGAUUCUGCUUUAGCUUUGCCACCAAUGAGCCACAUGAUUAUGGACAAGUUAUCUUUAAAGUUCCUCCACCUCCGAUUUUCUUUUUUGUUUUAUUAUUAAUAUUAUUUUUAAUUUUUUGGAGACAGGGUUUGGCUCUGUCACCCAGGCUGGAAUGCAGUGGCAUAAUCACAGCUCACUCAGUCUCAAAUGCUUGAGCUCAAGUGAUACUCCCACCUCAGCCUCCCAAGUAGCUAGGACUGCAGGUAUGCACCACUAUGCUCAGCUAAUCUUUGUUUUAACUUCUUUUAGAGACAGGGUCUCCCUGCAUUGCCCAGGCUGGAGUGCAGUGGUGCAGUCAUAGCUCACUGCAGCCUCAAUCUCCUGGCCUCCAGUGAUCCUCCUACAUCUGCCUCCUGAGUAGCUGGGAACAACAGUAUCCACCACUACGUUCAGCUAUUUUUUUUAAACACCUUUUUUUUUUAGAGACAAGGUACCACUAUGUUGCCCAGCUUCAACCUCCUGGCUUCAAGUGAUCCUCCUGCCUCAGCCUCCUGAGUAGCUGAGAUUACAGGCACUAUGCCUGUCCCAUUUCCAUGUUUUAAGAUUUAGAAGGGUCUGUUUUCUCUCCUCUCCUCAUUACAAAUAUGGGAACUGAUCUUAAAAGUAGAGUUUUGUUGUUGUUGUUGAGAUGGAGUCUCGCUCUGUCACCCAGGCUGGAGUGCAGUGGCGUGAUCUUAGCUCACUGCAACCUCUGCCUCCUGGGUUCAAGUGAGUCUCCUGCCUUCAAGAGUCUCACUCUGUUGCUCAGGUUAGAGUGGAGUGGCAUGACCUUGGCUCACUGCAACCUUCGCCUCCAGGGUUCAAGCAAUUCUCCUGCCUCAGCUUCCAGAGUAGCUGGAAUUAUAGGCACACACCACCACGCUUGGCUAAUUUUUGUAUUUUUAGUAGAGAUGGGGCUUCACCAUGUUGGCCAGGCUGGUCUUGAACUCCUGACCUCAAGUAUACCCACCUCGGCCUCCCAAAGUGCUGGGAUUACAGGCGUGAGCACCUGGCCACUAAAAGCAGAGUCUUUAUAAGCGAGCAGCUCAUAUAAAAAAUAUCCUAUUUUAUUCCAUUAGACAGGAAAAGUGAGGCUAAUGCAUUUCCUAUCUUGUGUUUCUCUAAGUGUGAUCCUAGGCCACUCACAUUAGAACCAUCUGGGCUGUGUUAAAAGAUUCUUGGGCCUCCACCCCGAACUACUAAAUCACAGCGUCUGAUAGUGGAGCCUGGAUAAGUAAUUAUCUGUUUAAUAUGAAUCUCAGGUGAUUCUUAUGGGAACUCAUGUUUGAAAACCACUGGACAAGAGAGGAGAGAAAAAAACCCCAGCUUUGAGUCAGGUACACUAGCAUAGGAUUCUCAAAGUUGAAUGUGCAUAUCAGUUAGUUGAGUAUCUUGUUAAAAUGCAGAUUCAGAUUCACAAGAUCUGAGGUGGGGCCCAAGAGCCUGCAUUUCUUUUCUUUUCUUUUUUCUUUUUUUGAGACAGAGUCCCACUCUGUUGCUCAGGCUGGAGUAUAGUGGCCCAAUCUCAGCUCACUGCAGCCUCUACCUCCCAGGUUCAAGAGAUUCUCUUGCCUCUCAUGCCUCAGCCUCUCGAGGAGCUGGGAUUACAGGAGUGCACCACUACACCCACCUAAUUUUUUUUAUUUUUUAUUUUUAGUAGAGAUGGGAUUUUACCAUGUUGGCCAGGCUGGCCUCGAACUCCUGACCUCAAGUGAUCCACCUGCCUCAGCCUCCUAAAGUGCUGAGAUUACAGUUGUGAACCACUGUGCCCAGCCCAAGAGUCUACAUUUCUAACAACCUUCCAGGGGAUACCAAACCUGUGGGUCCACAGACCACAUUUAGAGUAGCAAGACUUUGGAGCCCCACUCAUGAGUUGCAAAUCCUUGGAAAAAGUAUUUAACUUUUCUUAUAUCCAGUUUAUUUAUCUAUGAAGAGGGAUAUAUGGACUGCAUAUAUCAUAGAAUUGUUAGUUAGAUUAAACCAAAUAAUGUAUAUGAAGCUGCCUGUCCUAGCACCAAGCGUAUGGGAAGCUAUAAAAGGUCCUCUGGAUAAAUAUCACUGUAAUAAAAAUAUUGACUUAGACUCUCAUGGGGUGUGAUGCUGGGAAUGUGCAUUUUUAACUGAAACCUGGAGGUGACUCUAAUACACAAGGAAGUCGAUAACCCUGCACUCUGUCCCUG